GGACUACUGGGGUUUCUAAUCCUGUUCGCUCCCCACGCUUUCGCUCAUCAGCGUCAGUACCGGCCCAGACCACCGCCUUCGCCACCGGUGUUCCUCCUGAUAUCUGCGCAUUUCACCGCUACACCAGGAAUUCCGUGGUCCCCUACCGGACUCUAGCCAUGGAAGUAUCGAGUGGCAGCUCCAGGUUGAGCCUGGAGGUUUCACACCCGACUUUCCGAGCCGCCUACGAGCUCUUUACGCCCAAUGAAUCCGGACAACGCUCGCCCCCUACGUAUUACCGCGGCGGCUGGCAC
rnacentral:rRNA from 1 species